rnacentral:rRNA from 1 species
GAUGAACGCUGGCGGCGUGCCUAAUACAUGCAAGUCGAGCGAACGGACGAGAAGCUUGCUUUUCUGAUGUUAGCGGCGGACGGGUGAGUAACACGUGGAUAACCUACCUAUAAGACUGGGAUAACUUCGGGAAACCGGACCUAAUACCGGAUAAUAUUUUGAACCGCAUGGUUCAAAAGUGAAAGACGGUCUUGCUGUCACUUAUAGAUGGAUCCGCGCUGCAUUAGCUAGUUGGUAAGGUAACGGCUUACCAAGGCAACGAUGCAUAGCCGACCUGAGAGGGUGAUCGGCCACACUGGAACUGAGACACGGUCCAGACUCCUACGGGAGGCAGCAGUAGGGAAUCUUCCGCAAUGGGCGAAAGCCUGACGGAGCAACGCCGCGUGAGUGAUGAAGGUCUUCGGAUCGUAAAACUCUGUUAUUAGGGAAGAACAUAUGUGUAAGUAACUGUGCACAUCUUGACGGUACCUAAUCAGAAAGCCACGGCUAACUACGUG